AUUGAACGCUGGCGGCAGGCUUAACACAUGCAAGUCGAGCGGGGAAGGGUAGCUUGCUACCUGACCUAGCGGCGGACGGGUGAGUAAUGCUUAGGAAUCUGCCUAUUAGUGGGGGACAACAUUCCGAAAGGAAUGCUAAUACCGCAUACGCCCUACGGGGGAAAGCAGGGGAUCUUCGGACCUUGCGCUAAUAGAUGAGCCUAAGUCAGAUUAGCUAGUUGGUGGGGUAAAGGCCUACCAAGGCGACGAUCUGUAGCGGGUCUGAGAGGAUGAUCAGCCACACUGGGACUGAGACACGGCCCAGACUCCAACGGGAGGCACACCUACUGAAUGCAUAUUAAGUGAGCUACCCCGAUAUAC
rnacentral:rRNA from 1 species